rnacentral:rRNA from 1 species
ACUCCUACGGGAGGCAGCAGUGGGGAAUAUUGCACAAUGGGCGCAAGCCUGAUGCAGCCAUGCCGCGUGUAUGAAGAAGGCCUUCGGGUUGUAAAGUACUUUCAGCGGGGAGGAAGGCGAUAAGGUUAAUAACCUUGUCGAUUGACGUUACCCGCAGAAGAAGCACCGGCUAACUCCGUGCCAGCAGCCGCGGUAAUACGGAGGGUGCAAGCGUUAAUCGGAAUUACUGGGCGUAAAGCGCACGCAGGCGGUCUGUCAAGUCGGAUGUGAAAUCCCCGGGCUCAACCUGGGAACUGCAUUCGAAACUGGCAGGCUAGAGUCUUGUAGAGGGGGGUAGAAUUCCAGGUGUAGCGGUGAAAUGCGUAGAGAUCUGGAGGAAUACCGGUGGCGAAGGCGGCCCCCUGGACAAAGACUGACGCUCAGGUGCGAAAGCGUGGGGAGCAAACAGGAUUAGAAACCCUGGUAGUCCCA